rnacentral:lncRNA from 1 species
GGAAGACAGGGCGAUGAGAGAUGUGGCUCCUGCCGCCCCAGCACAGCGGCGCCGCGCUGCGCCCCCAGGAAGCCUGCGUGUCUGGCGGGGCCGCGAGCCGCCGCGUCCCAGACCCGGCAGGCACCUUCCUCCUACGGCGCCCACCGAGGGUGCCGCGCACGCGAACCAGGCAGUGUGCACCAGCUUCGCACAGAACCGCUCCGAGUGCUCAGGAACUUACCAGGCUGCGGGAAUGCUGGGGCACCGCUCCUGGGGGCACCCCCCAGCUGAGGGGCCUGGUCUCCAGGUACCCGGUGCUCACAGGGUUGACACCAAGCUCUGACCCUCAAAUAAGCAGGUAAACCAACUCUGUGGGCCAUGUUCCUUAGAAGGAGUUAGUAUGAUUCGCUGUCACUUUACAGUCUGGGGACCUGUUUGAACCAAGGAAGAUGACAUUUUCGGACCAGAUGGGCAACAGCGUCUGUGAGAGGAAAUCUCCUAUUUCAAAUCAGAAGAGUGGUUCUAUUCUGUCCUAUGCAAUAUGAGCAAAGAAGGGGUUUGGGGUAGGCACAGGUGGCUGAGUUUAUACGAUGUGAUAGAUUGUUUCUUAUGUGGGGUGGAAUGAGGGCUGAGGGUAGAAAAACACUUAGGCUCGGGUGUAGACAAAUAGAGCCCUUACAUUUUGGCAUACGUGAGUCUGUGUGACUGAAAUUUGGGGUCGCUGUAUCUGAGACUCUCCUGCCAUCUCCGGACAAUGUACCCCUCAAGGACAGAGAUAUCGCCCUGUGCAUUUCUCCAACUCAUAUUCCUUGUCAACCAAACCCCAUAAUGAUUCCAAUGGCAAUAUUUCUAGCCCCAGGGAUGAGUCCGAUCUCCUUCCCCAGUGAUUGCUCCAAGGAUGGACAUAUGACAGGUCCUGCCAAAAGGAUGAACUUCUCAGAGCUUCUGAAAAGAUUUUCCUAUUUGAUAAGAGAUAGACUCACAAGGAACAGCUUCUUUUCUUGCUGUGCCACCUUUUGCUACUUGGAUGUGGUCAUGAGAGACAGCUGUCAUCUGACAAUUAGGUAGAAAAGAAAAAAAAAAAUCACUGAUGGGAGUUCCCGUUGUGGCUCAGUGGGUUAAGAACCUGGCUAGGAUCCAUGAGGAUGUGAAUUCCGUUCCUGGCCUUGCUCAGUGGGUUCAGGAUCUGGCAUUGCCGCAAGCUGUGUGUAGGUCACAGAUGCAGCUCGGAUCUGGCGUUGCUGUGGCUGUGGUGUAGGCCGGCAGCUGCAGCUCACAUUGGACCCCUAGCCUGGGAACUUCUAUAUGCCUCUGGUGCAGCCCCCCCCCCAAAAAAAAGAAGAAAAAAAAUCACUAGCAUAA